rnacentral:tRNA from 1 species
GCGAGGGUGGCGAAAUUGGUAGACGCACCAGGUUUAGGUCCUGACGCCCCUACGGGCGUGGGGGUUCGAGUCCCCCCCCUCGCACCA